rnacentral:tRNA from 1 species
GAGAAGGUGGCUCAGUGGUAGAGUGAUUGCCUUGCAUGCAUGAGGCCUUAGGUUCGAUUCCUCAGCACCCCA